rnacentral:rRNA from 1 species
AUUGAACGCUGGCGGCAGGCUUAACACAUGCAAGUCGAGCGGAGAUGAGGUGCUUGCACCUUAGCUUAGCGGCGGACGGGUGAGUAAUGCUUAGGAGUCUGCCUAUUAGUGGGGGACAACAUUCCGAAAGGAAUGCUAAUACCGCAUACGUCCUACGGGAGAAAGCAGGGGAUCUUCGGACCUUGCGCUAAUAGAUGAGCCUAAGUCGGAUUAGCUAGUUGGUGGGGUAAAGGCCUACCAAGGCGACGAUCUGUAGCGAGUCUGAGGGGAUGAUCCGCCACACUGGGACUGAGACACGGCCCUGACUCCUACGGGAGGCAGCAGUGGGGAAUAUUGGACAAUGGGGGGAACCCUGAUCCAGCCAUGCCGCGUGUGUGAAGAAGGCCUUAUGGUUGUAAAGCACUUUAAGCGAGGAGGAGGCUACUGAGACUAAUACUCUUGGAUAGUGGACGUUACUCGCAGAAUAAGCACCGGCUAACUCUGUGCCAGCAGCCGCAGUAAAAC